rnacentral:rRNA from 1 species
UACGGGGGGAGCAAGCGUUGUUCGGAAUUACUGGGCGUAAAGGGCGCGUAGGCGGCCUGCUAAGUCGGAUGUGAAAUCCCCGGGCUCAACCUGGGAACUGCAUUUGUGACUGCACGGCUGGAGUGCGGCAGAGGGGGAUGGAAUUCCGCGUGUAGCAGUGAAAUGCGUAGAUAUGCGGAGGAACACCGAUGGCGAAGGCAAUCCCCUGGGCCUGCACUGACGCUCAUGCACGAAAGCGUGGGGAGCAAACAGG